rnacentral:rRNA from 1 species
CCUACGGGUGGCUGCAGUGGGGAAUAUUGGACAAUGGGCGAAAGCCUGAUCCAGCCAUGCCGCGUGUGUGAAGAAGGCCUUCGGGUUGUAAAGCACUUUCAGUGGGGAAGAAAGCCUUGGGGCUAAUACCCUCGAGGAAGGACAUCACCCACAGAAGAAGCACCGGCUAACUCCGUGCCAGCAGCCGCGGUAAUACGGAGGGUGCGAGCGUUAAUCGGAAUUACUGGGCGUAAAGCGCGCGUAGGCGGUCUGAUAAGCCGGUUGUGAAAGCCCCGGGCUCAACCUGGGAACGGCAUCCGGAACUGUCAGGCUAGAGUGCAGGAGAGGAAGGUAGAAUUCCCGGUGUAGCGGUGAAAUGCGUAGAGAUCGGGAGGAAUACCAGUGGCGAAGGCGGCCUUCUGGACUGACACUGACGCUGAGGUGCGAAAGCGUGGGUAGCAAACAAGAUUAGAUACCCGAGUAGUC